CUUUCUUUGCUGGCGACCGGCGCACGGGUGAGUAACACGUAUCCAACCUGCCCUUUACUCGGGGAUAGCCUUUCGAAAGAAAGAUUAAUACCCGAUAGUAUAAUGAUUCCGCAUGGUUUCAUUAUUAAAGGAUGCCGGUAAAGGAUGGGGAUGCGUUCCAUUAGGUUGUUGGUGAGGUAACGGCUCACCAAGCCUUCGAUGGAUAGGGGUUCUGAGAGGAAGGUCCCCCACAUUGGAACUGAGACACGGUCCAA
rnacentral:rRNA from 1 species